rnacentral:lncRNA from 10 species
GAGGGACCCAAUGGGAGAUGCCUGAAUUAUGGGGGCGGGUCUUUCCUGAGCCGUUUCUCGUGAGAGUGAAUAGUUCUCACGAGAUCUGAUGGUUUUAAAAACGGGAGUUGCGUUGUACAAGCUUUCUUUUUGUUUGCUGCCUUCCGUAGAAGAUGUGGCUUGCUCAUGCUUGACUUCUGCCAUGGUUGUGAGGCCUCCCCAGCCAUGUGGAACUGUUUUCAGGUGCUGGUUCCAUGGCUCUUCCUGAGCCGAAAAUAAGGAAACUCCAUAGACCUUGUCCACUGGAACUCGUUCCCAUCUACCCUCCACUCUAUCCAGCCCCAUGAGGACAAGGAACAUGAUUGGUUUUGCUCACUGCCGUAUCUUCCGUACCUAGUACGUAACAGGACAUCAAUAAAUAUUAGUUGAAUGGAAGAUUAAAUCAACAAAAUGGGUGAUGGAUCUCUGCAGUAAGUGGAAGAGUUCUUCAUGGCCCCCAAGGUUAUAUCCAUCUAGAACUUCAGCACGUAAUUUCAUCUGGAAAUAGUGCCUUUGCGGAUAUAAGUUAGGUAAAACUGAAGAUGAGAUCAUACUGGAUUAGGAUGGGAUCUAAAUCCAAUGAAAAUGUCUUCAUAAAAAACAGGAAAGAACCCAUAGAAACACAAGGAAGAAGGUCAUGUGAAGAUGGAGGCAGAGAUUGGAGGGAUGCAGCCACCGGCCCAGGAAUGCCAGCAGCCACCCAGAAGCUGGAAGGAAAUGAGGGAUUCUCUCCUAGAACCUUUAGAGAGAACAUGGUCCUGUGAACAGCUUGAUUUUGGACUUGCCCAUAGCUUGUAUACUCUUACUUUGGAUACAAUUUUAUCCAAACUUGGCUAAACAGUUUCUCAGCCUAUGGAAAAUUUAAAAUGGAGAAGAUUCAACUCGAUUCUUACAGAUUCAAAGCAAGAAAAUGAUGGGAACAUAGGAGGAGACCAAGAAAGCCUAUAAAAAGCAAAAAUAUGAAGUGAACAUUGUGGUAGCUUUAAGAUGUUUAGUGUAGCUGCAGGCACCCUAUACACAUGAAAACCCCCAAGGGGAAUCCCCAUAUCACAGUGUAGUGUGAUAUUUGACAUUCGUGAUCAUCUAGAGAUGUACAGAAAAGGUGAAUCUGUGUUCUGUAUAUUCUGCCUAAGGCAAAGAAAUGUUUAGCUCUCUUUAAAAUAGUUCCAUAAUUUUUUCUAAAAAGCUUUGCUUGAAAACUGUAAGCUUCCCAUAUCUGGAGCAUUUCACUUUAAAUAUUUGGAUAAAUAUGUUAUCUUCUUACUUGGACAUUUCAUGUGUUUAGGGAUUGUCUUCUAAAUUCUUCCUAAUUCAUAUAGCUGCUAACACUUCCCGCAGAGCUAAACCAUUACAGAUAUGAAAUAAAGACCUAUUGAUUUGACUUACUUUUACUUGUAAAACCUUCUGAGUGUUAUAACCUCAUUUAAUCUUUCAGCAUUUACAGUUUCAAGAGUUUGUGUCACAAUUAGAAGAAUUCAGCUGCACCUCCAAGUGACAGCAGUUGCUCUGGUUGGUGGGUGAUCUCAGGAGGCUUGAGAAUUGCUUUGUCUGUGAGGGAAGUAAGACAUUUUCAGAGCCCCACUUUAGAAGGUGUGAACUGGCUAGAUAAUGAACCCCAGGGCUAACGCUGCUAUAGCAGUGGGAAGGAGGUGAUGGGUUUUCAGUUUGGACCUCAAACAUCAAUACCCUCCUGGUACGGGGAGGAACAGAGUCCCUCCUUUACUUCUCCAUUAGAAAGAAUGAGAUGGCAAGACAAUGAAACAGGCAAAGUGAACAGAGAUGCAAGACAAAAUUCAGGUGAGAGAGCCAGAGCAUCACUCAGCCAUUCCUGACAUGUAAAACAGGCAACUAGAAAUUUGCAGAAAGGAAGCGAAGUCUCCAUAAAGAUGUUUUUAAAGUGAGCUUGAAGUAUUUGGAGACAAUUCAGUGUUACAUAAAAUCUGCAAAUCUCUGGAUAAAGAAGCAGAGAUCCCAGCAUGGGACAAAUGGAGCCUCAAAAGUGGGAAGAAGACAGAGAAGACCAGGGCAGAAUGCAUCUCUUCCUUUCUCUUGGCUUUCCUGGAUAAGGACUGCAUCAUUCCUGUGGAAGGACAGGCCAUCAGCUCCGAAACACUGUAUGUAUUUUCCAGUAUAUACUGCUAGCUGUGUGAUGUUGGGAAAAUUUGUUACCCUGUCUAACCCCCACUUCCCUCAUCUGUAAAAUGGAAAUAAUGAUAGUACCUACCUAUCUCAUAGGUGGCAACUACAAGGGGCAGCACACUCAGGGAAUUAAGGAAGUUUCAGUGAACAUCAACUUUAUGAACACAGUGUUCAUAAAGGCAGGUCAGUGCAGUGGUUUGGGAGCCAGGAGAAGCACGUGGGCCGGAGUGUGCCUGCAGGAGACAAGGUCAGAGAUGUUGCUAAUAAUGGAGAAUAAAGGAUGCAUUCUCAUUACUGACCUUGGAGUCGUUCAUUCAUUCCCAGAAUGUGUUUUGUCAGCUUACUAAAACACUAAGUUAAAUAAUCCCAGGUUUUGUUUAUU